CUACGGGACGCUGCAGUGAGGAAUUUUGCGCAAUGGGCGAAAGCCUGACGCAGCAACGCCGCGUGAGUGAUGAAGGCCUUCGGGUCGUAAAGCUCUGUCAAGUGGGAAGAACCUAUGUAAUGUUAAUAUCAUUAUAUACUGACGGUACCACUGAAGGAAGCACCGGCUAGCCCCGUGCCAGCAGCCGCGGUAAUACGGGGGGUGCAAGCGUUAUUCGGAAUCAUUGGGCGUAAAGGGCACGUAGGCGGCCUGGUAAGUCAGAUGUGAAAGCCCGGGGCUUAACCCCGGAAGUGCAUUUGAUACUGUCAGGCUUGAGUAUGGGAGAGGGAAGUGGAAUUCCUGGUGUAGAGGUGAAAUUCGUAGAUAUCAGGAGGAACACCGGUGGCGAAGGCGACUUCCUGGACCAAUACUGACGCUGAGGUGCGAAGGCGUGGGUAGCAAACAGGAUUAGAUACCCUGGUAGUC
rnacentral:rRNA from 1 species